rnacentral:rRNA from 1 species
GAACCAAUAUUUUUGGUGACUCAUAAUAACUUUACGGAUCACAUUAUGUGACAUAUCAUUCAAGUUUCUGACCUAUCAGCUUUAGACGGUAGGGUAUUGGCCUACCGUGGCUAUGACGGGUAACGGGGAAUUAGGGUUCGAUUCCGGAGAGGGAGCCUGAGAAACGGCUACCACAUCUAAGGAAGGCAGCAGGCGCGCAAAUUACCCAAUCCUAAUACAGGGAGGUAGUGACAAGAAAUAACAAUACAGAACCUUACGGUUUUGUAAUUGGAAUGAGUUAAGUAUAAACCCCUUAACAAGUAUCAAUUGGAGGGCAAGUCUGGUGCCAGCAGCCGCGGUAAUUCCAGCUCCAAUAGCGUAUAUUAAAGUUGUUGCAGUUAAAAAGCUCGUAGUUAAUCUUCUGUUAAUUUUUAUAUACAAUAUCACGAUAUUUAYAUAAUAUUAACAUAAUUCAUAUUACUUUUUAGUAUAUGAAACUUUACUUUGAGAAAAUUAGAGUGCUUAAAGCAGGCUAUUGCCUUGAAUACUCCAGCAUGGAAUAAUAUUAAGGAUUUUUAUUCUUCUUAUUGGUUCUAGAAUAAAAAUGAUGAUUAAUAGGAACAGUUGGGGGCAUUUGUAUUUAACAGUCAGAGGUGAGAUUCUUAGAUUUGUUAAAGACAAACUACUGCGAAAGCAUUUGCCAAGGAUGUUUUCAUUAAUCAAGAACGAAAGUUAGGGGAUCGAAGACGAUCAGAUACCGUCGUAGUCUUAACCAUAAACUAUGCCAACUAGAGAU